AACGCGAAGAACCUUACCUACUCUUGACAUCCAGAGAACUUAGCAGAGAUGCUUUGGUGCCUUCGGGAACUCUGAGACAGGUGCUGCAUGGCUGUCGUCAGCUCGUGUUGUGAAAUGUUGGGUUAAGUCCCGCAACGAGCGCAACCCUUAUCCUUUGUUGCCAGCGGUUCGGCCGGGAACUCAAAGGAGACUGCCAGUGAUAAACUGGAGGAAGGUGGGGAUGACGUCAAGUCAUCAUGGCCCUUACGAGUAGGGCUACACACGUGCUACAAUGGCAUAUACAAAGAGAAGCGACCUCGCGAGAGCAAGCGGACCUCAUAAAGUAUGUCGUAGUCCGGAUUGGAGUCUGCAACUCGACUCCAUGAAGUCGGAAUCGCUAGU
rnacentral:rRNA from 1 species